GAUGAAGAACGCAGUGAAAUGCGAUAAGUAAUGUGAAUUGCAGAAUUCAGUGAAUCAUCGAAUCUUUGAACGCACAUUGCGCCCCCUGGUAUUCCGGGGGGCAUGCCUGUUCGAGCGUCAUUUCAACCCUCAGCUCUGCUUGGUAUUGAGUCCAUGUCAGCAAUGGCAGGCUCCAAAAUCAGUGGCGGCGCCGCUGGGUCCUGAACGUAGUAAUAUCUCUCGUUACAGGUGCUCGGCGUGCUUCUGCCAAAACCCCAAUUUUUCUAUGGUUGACCUCGGAUCAGGUAGGGAUACCCGCUGAACUUAAGCAUAUCAAUAAGCGGAGGA
rnacentral:misc_RNA from 1 species